ncrna:unclassified sequences NiCo riboswitch
ACAGUACAAACUGAGCAGGCGAUGCCGGAAGGCGUGGGGCCGGGCCGCAGACGCGGCAGCAGAUGUGAACAUAGUAAGGCAUAUCUGUGGGACAGUG